rnacentral:rRNA from 1 species
AGGACGAACGCUGGCGGCGUGCUUAACACAUGCAAGUCAAGGGGGUCUCGGGGGCAACCCUGGGAUAACCGGCGAACGGGUGCGUAGCACGUGAGCGACCUGCCGAUCUGCGGGGGAUAGCCGGCCCAACGGCCGGGUAAUACCGCAUACGCUUGGUUUGGGGCAUCCCUUUCCAAGGAAACUUCCGGGGCGAUCGAGGGGCUCGCGGCCUAUCAGCUAGUUGGCGCGGUAACGGCGCACCAAGGCGACGACGGGUAGCGUGGUCUGAGAGGAUGGCCAGCCACAUUGGGACUGAGAAACGGCCCAGACUCCUACGGAGGCAGUCAGUGGGAAUAGUUGCGCAAGUGGCCGCGAAGGCUGACGCAGCGACGCCGCGUGGUGGGACGACCGCCGUUUCGGGUACGUAAACCGACGUUGGUUCGCCCGGGAACGAACAACGU